rnacentral:rRNA from 1 species
GACGAACGCUGGCGGCGUGCCUAAUACAUGCAAGUCGAACGAACCGCGACUGAGUGCUUGCACUUGGUCAAGGUGAGUGGCGAACGGGUGAGUAACACGUGGGUAACCUACCUCAUAGUGGGGGAUAACAGUCGGAAACGACUGCUAAUACCGCAUAGGACAUGGAAUCACAUGAUUCCGUGAGGAAAGGUGGCGCAAGCUAUCGCUAAGAGAUGGACCCGCGGUGCAUUAGCUAGUUGGUAGGGUAACGGCCUACCAAGGCGAUGAUGCAUAGCCGACCUGAGAGGGUGAUCGGCCACAUUGGGACUGAGACACGGCCCAAACUCCUACGGGAGGCAGCAGUAGGGAAUCUUCCGCAAUGGACGCAAGUCUGACGGAGCAACGCCGCGUGAGUGAAGAAGGUCUUCGGAUCGUAUAGCUCUGUUGUUAGAGAAGAACAGCGCAUAGAGUAACUGUUAUGCGUGUGAC